GGCUCAGGAUCAGAAUUCUACACUACAGACAAGGUUCUGUUUUGUAAACAUCUUCAAUUCCUUCAAAAGGGAGUUAGCUUCCUCGCCAUUUCACGCUUGAAAAUAAAGGCUGAGGAGGAAAAGAAACAAGGAAAACAAGUAAAAUGCAGAAGAAAUUUGACAUUUUUUGAAUGCCAUUUCUUAUUUUUAUUUGUAAAUAUACAUUCCACUAAAACAAAGGACAGUAGUGUACUGUUGAUAGUAUUAUGAAUUGGUCAAGCAAUUAUAGAAAGAAAUUUGGAAUGCACACACUGAAAUUGCUAUGUUUUUCUUACUCUUUGACCCAGGCAUAGUAAUUACUGGGCAUUUCUAUGGCA
rnacentral:lncRNA from 1 species